UACGGAGGGUGCAAGCGCUGUCCGGAUUUAUUGGGUUUAAAGGGUGCGUAGGUGGCCCUGUAAGUCAGUGGUGAAAUUCUUGAGCUUAACUGAAGGAUUGCCAUUGAUACUGUAGGGCUUGAGUACAGAUGAGGUAGGCGGAAUUGAUGGUGUAGCGGUGAAAUGCAUAGAUACCAUCAAGAACACCGAUUGCGAAGGCAGCUUACUAAGCUGUAACUGACGCUGAUGCACGAAAGCGUGGGGAUCGAACAGG
rnacentral:rRNA from 1 species